GCAUGGAUACCCGAUUGCAUGUACUUAAUGAAUAACGAUCGGCUCACUCCGUGCCAGCACCCGCGGUAAUACGGAGGAUCCGAGCGUUAUCCGGAUUUAUUGGGUUUAAAGGGAGCGUAGAUGGAUGUUUAAGAUCGGUGUGAACGUAUGCGGCUCAACCGUAAAAAUUGCAGUUGAUACUGGAUAUCUUGAGUGCAGUUGAGGCAGGCGGAAUUCGUGGUGUAGCGGUGAAAUGCUUAGAUAUCACGAAGAACUCCGAUUGCGAAGGCAGCCUGCUAAGCUGCAACUGACAUUGAGGCUCGAAAGUGUGGGUAUCAAACAGGAUUAGAUACCCUGGUAGUCCACACGGUAAACGAUGAAUACUCGCUGUUUGCGAUAUACAGCAAGCGGCCAAGCGAAAGCGUUAAGUAUUCCACCUGGGGAGUACGCAGGCAACGGUGAAACUCAAAGGAAUUGACGGGGGCCCGCACAAGCGGAGGAACAUGUGGUUUAAUUCGAUGAUACGCGAGGAACCUUACCCGGGCUUAAAUUGCAGAUGAAUUACGGUGAAAGCCGUAAGCCGCAAGGCAUCUGUGAAGGUGCUGCAUGGUUGUCGUCAGCUCGUGCCGUGAGGUGUCGGCUUAAGUGCCAUAACGAGCGCAACCCUUGUUGUCAGUUACUAACAGGUUCUGCUGAGGACUCUGACAAGACUGCCAUCGUAAGAUGUGAGGAAGGUGGGGAUGACGUCAAAUCAGCACGGCCCUUACGUCCGGGGCUACACACGUGUUACAAUGGGGGGUACAGAGGGCCGCUACCACGCGAGUGGAUGCCAAUCCCCAAAACCUCUCUCAGUUCGGACUGGAGUCUGCAACCCGACUCCACGAAGCUGGAUUCGCUAGUAAUCGCGCAUCAGCCACGGCGCGGUGAAUACGUUCCCGGGCCUUGUACACACCGCCCGUCAAGCCAUGGGAGCCGGGGGUACCUGAAGUGCGUAACCGCGAGGAGCGCCCUAGGGUAAAACUGGUGACUGGGGCUA
rnacentral:rRNA from 1 species